GCAAGUCGAGCGGUAGAUUGGAUGCUUGCAUCUAAUUGAGAGCGGCGAACGGGUGAGUAACAUGUUGAAAUCUGCCCCCAAGUCAGGGAUAGCCAUUGGAAACGAUGAUUAAUACCGGAUGUGCUCUACGGAGUAAAGAUUUAUUGCUUGGGGAGGAGUCUACACGGUAUCAGUUAGUUGGUGAGGUAAAGGCUCACCAAGACUAUGACGCCUAGCUGGUCUGAGAGGAUGAUC
rnacentral:rRNA from 1 species